UCCCUGGUAGUAUAUCGGUUAGUUCACGCGCCUGUCAUUAGUCGUUGGUGCGAAGUGCACAACGCGCGAAAGCUGGGUUCGACUCCAGCCAGGGAG